UUCUAUCUCAGAGGAGUGACACUUAGAACACAAGAUUGAUUGGUUGACACUACAAAAAUUAUUUUGUUUGUUAUUAAUUCCUUUUGUGUUCUCAGGUCACCCCUUUAAGUCAACC
rnacentral:pre_miRNA from 1 species